rnacentral:lncRNA from 1 species
GUUUUAACUGACAUCCCAUUGUGAUGCUCCCCCUAUGAAUAAGCAGUAACCUAAGAGUCUCUUACAUGGUCCUUCAAGCCGGAAUUUGAGCAUCCCAAUGGACCAAGAGCAAUAUACUAGCCAAUGCCAUGUACCACCUCGUCGAGAGUCUUCAAGACAGACUAAGCCUCCAGUCUAUCUUGAGGACUAUGAGACUACCUUACCGCCAUUGAAGCCUCCUCGAACUAGCCAGUCAGUUUCCUUAGCCCCAGUCCAAAGCAGUAGUGAAGAUGCCGGAGAGAGUUAUUCUGAACCUUGUGACCCUAUCUUACGGGAAAUGAAGCAGUUGAAGGAGUUUGUUAUGGAAUUAGGCCGAAGUGUGAAGCAGAUAAAUUCCAGAGUUAAUAGGAUUUGUUCUUCAGGAAGUUCUUGGUCAUCUGAAGAAGGUAGCCAAAAUGUAUCUGCACUGCCCUCACCUGAUAAGGAGUCUUUCAUACCUUCUAUGGGGAUUGCUUCAGCUGCAGCAUUAGCUCAAGAGCUCCGAGUUCAUCUACAGGAACAACAUCAUGUGAAAGCUAGUCCCGAGUUGAAGUUACCGCCAUGUGUGAGUAGAGCGUCCUCUCUGCCUCCACCUCCUUCUUCUAUGGUACUGACUCCUCAAUCCCAGUUAGCUCCUGAUUUUAAUGUAUCACAAGUAAAUCAAGUCCCUGCUGAUGAGAAUGUCGUUAGCUAUCCAGUGGCAAGGCAGCUUUCUGCAGUUCAGAGCCCUCAUGCUCCUCAUUUGUCUACUUUGAUGGGAAGUUCACAGCAUCCGGCCAGUCAGUUCAUGCCCCCUAAUUUAUAUGCUCUAAAUCCUUGGGUUGAUGCGCAUCAUCAGUUAUCAGGUCAGUCUUAUGCAUCUAGACCUGCAGUGCAACCAUCGAUCCCUCCUUGGGCUAUGAAUCCACCAUUGUUUGGCCCAGUAUAUCCUGGAUUUUGGCCACCAGUACCAGGCCCUUUGUAUCCAAGUCAUUUGCCAGUUCCUAUGAAUGCUGUUUAUCAACAAGCACAAGAUCCCCAGGGUAUCAUGGCAUCGUCUCAGUAUUUACCAUUCUCACAGCAGGCUUUGCAUAAUUCAGUGGUUAGAACUGAACCUCCUAUUAGUCAAUUAUCAGUUCCAUUGACAUCUUUGGCAUCCGGCACGAUUACUCAAUCAUCUGUACCCAUGACAGCUCAAAGUGGAAAUAUGGCUGAUUGUAUCCAGCAGGCAAAUCAAGAUGUUCAGUCUUCAUUACCAUUAGUUAUGCCUAGUUUACCUUCACCUCUUUUUGUGAGACCUAUUGUGCAACAACAAAGUAACCAGAUGC